rnacentral:rRNA from 1 species
CACCGCGGUUAUACGAGAGGCCCAAGUUGAUAGAGCUCGGCGUAAAGGGUGGUUAAUAGACCUAACACUAAAGCCAAACACCUUCAAGGCUGUUAUACGCAUCCGAAGGCAGGAAGCCUAAACACGAAAGUAGCUUUAAUCGCUAUGACACCACGAAAGCUAGGGUA